GGGUGAGUAAUGCCUAGGAAUCUGCCUGGUAGUGGGGGAUAACGUCCGGAAACGGGCGCUAAUACCGCAUACGUCCUGAGGGAGAAAGUGGGGGAUCUUCGGACCUCACGCUAUCAGAUGAGCCUAGGUCGGAUUAGCUAGUUGGUGGGGUAAAGGCCUACCAAGGCGACGAUCCGUAACUGGUCUGAGAGGAUGAUCAGUCACACUGGAACUGAGACACGGUCCAGACUCCUACGGGAGGCAGCAGUGGGGAAUAUUGGACAAUGGGCGAAAGCCUGAUCCAGCCAUGCCGCGUGUGUGAAGAAGGUCUUCGGAUUGUAAAGCACUUUAAGUUGGGAGGAAGGGCAGUAAGUUAAUACCUUGCUGUUUUGACGUUACCAACAGAAUAAGCACCGGCUAACUUCGUGCCAGCAGCCGCGGUAAUACGAAGGGUGCAAGCGUUAAUCGGAAUUACUGGGCGUAAAGCGCGCGUAGGUGGUUCAGCAAGUUGGAUGUGAAAUCCCCGGGCUCAACCUGGGAACUGCAUCCAAAACUACUGAGCUAGAGUACGGUAGAGGGUGGUGGAAUUUCCUGUGUAGCGGUGAAACGCGUAGAUAUAGGAAGGAACACCAGUGGCGAAGGCGACCACCUGGACUGAUACUGACACUGAGGUGCGAAAGCGUGGGGAGCAAACAGGAUUAGACACCCUGGUAGUCCACGCCGUAAACGAUGUCGACUAGCCGUUGGGAUCCUUGAGAUCUU
rnacentral:rRNA from 1 species